GUUGGGAAUAUUGGACAAUGGGGGCAACCCUGAUCCAGCGACGCCGCGUGUGUGAAGAAGGCCUGCGGGUUGUAAAGCACUUUUAGUGGGGACAAAAAGCCGAGGGCUAAUACCUUUCGGUCUUGAUUUAACCCAAAGCAAAAGCACCGGCUAACUCUGUGCCAGCAGCCGCGGUAAUACAGAGGGUGCAAGCGUUAAUCGGAAUUACUGGGCGUAAAGCGUGCGUAGUCGGUUAUCUAAGUCGGGUGUGAAAUCCCCGGGCUCAACCUGGGAAUUGCAUUCGAUACUGGAUAGCUAGAGUUCGGCAGAGGGAAGCGGAAUUUCGGGUGUAGCGGUGAAAUGCGUAGAUAUCCGAAGGAACAUCAGUGGCGAAAGCGGCUUCCUGGACCAGAACUGACGAUCAGGCACGAAAGCGUGGGGAGCAAA
rnacentral:rRNA from 1 species